rnacentral:rRNA from 1 species
AUUGAACGCUGGCGGAAUGCUUUACACAUGCAAGUCGAACGGCAGCACGGACUUCGGUCUGGUGGCGAGUGGCGAACGGGUGAGUAAUGUAUCGGAACGUGCCCAGUCGUGGGGGAUAACGUAGUGAAAAUUACGCUAAUACCGCAUACGAUCUAUGGAUGAAAGCGGGGGAUCGCAAGACCUCGCGCGAUUGGAGCGGCCGAUAUCAGAUUAGGUAGUUGGGGGGGGAAAGGCCCACCAAGCCAACGAUCUGUAGCUGGUCUGAGAGGACGACCAGCCACACUGGAACUGAGACACGGUCCAGACUCCUACGGGAGGCAGCAGUGGGGAAUUUUGGACAAUGGGCGAAAGCCUGAUCCAGCCUUUCCGCGUGCAGGAUGAAGGCCCUCGGGUUGUAAACUGCUUUUGUACAGAACGAAAAGGUUUCUACUAAUACUAGGAGCUCAUGACGGUACUGUAAGAAUAAGCACCGGCUAACUACGUGCCAGCCGCCGCUGUAA